UGGUUUCCUGUAGCCUCUGGUAGUAUAUUGUGAUGGUUGGGAGGGGGUUAAUUUUCUGCACAGCAGCCUGUGUGGUGUUGUGUUUUAGAUUUGUGACCAAAGCAGUGUUGAUAACACACCCUUGUUUAAGCUGCUGCUGCACAGUGUUCACACAGCAUCAAGGCCUUCUCUGUUUCUCACUCUGCCCCCACAGCACGUAGGCUGACGUGAGCUGACCAGAAAGGUCCUGCAUGCUCUGUAACAUCAUGCCCAGUUAUGAAACUGGGGGGAGGUUUUGCAAAGUUGCCAUUGCUUGCAGACUGGCUGGGCAUCAGUCUGCUUGUGGGAGGUGGUUGACUACUGAUCCUGAAUCUACUUGCUUUUAUUUGGGAUAUCAUCAUGACAAGCGUAUGAGAGGACAGAGAGUAUGCUCUGCUGGUCAACCUCCAUAGUGAUGCCAUAGUGCUGAGUGGCUUUUUAUUUACUCUCUUGAACCCAUAAUGAAUACAUCCUCUAUAGAAAUCCAAGUGUUAACUUUGUCAUCUCUAUCCAUAUUUCCACCACAAAACUGAUGUGAAAACUCAGCUUUUGUGUUGCCUGAAUAAUGUAACCCCCACCCCCAAACAGCUCACACUUGAAAUGGAUCAAAAUCCCCAGCUCUGAAGAGCAAGCAGAGUGCAGAAUAUUAAGGCAGAGCAGGCUUCAGUGUGGAAAGACACAUGUUUUUUUGAAACGGGGUAGGAUUAGAGACAGAUUUACAAAGUCAAGUACAUCAAGGAAAGGGGAUGGGAGCUCAAGGAUGUCCUGCUGCAUAUUACUUUAAAAGAUCCCCUCCUAGAAGUGUGCGCUGAGAUCGUGUGGGUGGCAGCAAGAGGAGGAUUCCCCAGACGUACCCUGCAUCGGUGCUGCAUGUUCACUUUGCUUCCAAAGUGUGUUCUAUGCUCCUGGAUAUUUCCAAACCCUUCUCUAGCCUCUGGACUCUGACCUCAAACCAAGGAGAAUUCAAUAAUGAAUGUAGUUAAUUUGAAACCGAUUAUUGUUUCCAAGGUCAAUAAUGGGAAAACUGACUAUCAGCAAAUAACCCUCCUGAGAACACAAUUCUGAAGGGAUCCUGUGUUUCCUUUAACCAAACAAUGCCAUAGAAACUGACCAGAUGUUUGCCUACUCAGUUUACCAACCUACUGCCAUGCUUUUCCUGUUCCUUAAAGCAGGCCUCACAAAACCUGAACUAAAAGUACACAGCAGUCACAAGAGCGUGCUUAUUUCACUCAGACCAGGCUUAACAGGGUGUGUUGCUUCUGAAUUUUAAGAAAAUCAAUUACAUUCAUCUUGCAUUUGCUAAAACAAAAGUUGAAUCUCUUUGGUUUCUGCAUUUGGGAAGGCCAAGUUUCACUAUCCACCCUUCAAUAAAAAACAGUCAAAGAAAAAUGUUUCCUGUGAGUAUAUCUUCCUUGAUCAGCCAAGGUUUACAUCAUGGACAAAUAUGCCCAUUUGUAUUCAGAGGAUGCAGACUCAGGAUGCGCCCAACCUAUUUCCCUACCACAACCUCAUCAUCCCCCGCUUCAGAUUCCUCUGUUCCUCAGGCACCACCCUGAUUCAUAAUCUCAAGAAAGUAGAUGUUUGAUGAUCUUGCAGACCUGCACAACAACUGUGUUCACUGUGGAUUUUCCAGCCCAAUUGAUUGCCUACUGUCUGGCAAGCUGGCUUUGCUUGCUAACUUCUAGAGCAUAAAUGCUAUUUGUUUAUCUGUCAUCAGAGUGGCUCUCACUUUGGUGUCUCUUUGAUGAAGGCCAGGGCCAGCACCUUUUCAGCAGGCAAUUUCAUUUAUGUGGCUUUCUUCACUCUGAAUUUCUUCAUCCAGUGCUAGUCAUACAAGACCUGCAAAACAGUUUCACAUCCUGGUGCAGUGGUUUUUAGGGCCAGAAGCAUUAUUCCAUAGUGUGAUUUUUUCCUGCUCCUCAAAAUUAAAUCAUUCUUUUCCUAUCAUGACUCAUCAUUUUAGAAGGACUUACUUCAGUUCCAUGUAUAUGAAAGAUAUGCGGAUGAGAAAUGCAAGGUACAUUACCUUUUACAGAUCUUGUGCUGAUGACAGAAAGCUGCAAAGUAUGGGUUUUUGUUAAAUAGAAAAAGAAAAUAAAAACUGUGCAACAGAGAAAUGUGUGAAAUUGAUCCUAAUGCAUCAAAUGGAAAAAUUCUGGACAGAGGAGUGCAGGGCAAGUUAGCACAGGGUGACAUCACAUUUUGGUGUGGCUCCACCCUGUACAGUCACACUUGGUGAAGCUGGGUUGUGUCAGGCUGAGUAGCCCUGCAUGAGUGUACUCUGGUGUUGCAGUGUCAGCUGUUGCAGGCUGACAGCAGAGUUUUUCAUGGAGCCACAUCUUUAAACCCUGGGAUUGUCAGUUACCAGCUCCACUUUGACUCCAUGUCAGAUGCAGACAUCAGAACUGCAGACAUCUUAAGUCAGGUAAUGCAAAUUCCAGUGCUGAUGCUGUAAAGAUGGAAGACAAAUGGUCUCAGGUCAAUGUUCAGCAGGGCUCUUUCUUAACAUUCUUUACAAUUUUCAAAGAAACUUUUUAACACUUUCUUUCCAGUAAAGAUGCAUCAAUCUUUCAAUCCCUGAAACAGCAAGGCAUGAUUUUUAUGCAGCCACUUUUUCAUGCAGUCUGUGUGCAAAAUUCUUAGCAGUGUAAAUAUAAAU